rnacentral:rRNA from 1 species
GGUUUUUUGGUUUUAUGAAAAAUCGAGCCUGCUCUAUGAUGUUUUAAAUGGCCGCAGUAUAUUGACUGUGCUAAGGUAGCAUAAUAAUUAGUCUUUUAAUUGAGGACUGGAAUGAAAGGUUUGACAAGGGGAUGACUGUCUUGAAAUUAGUGGUUUAAUUUGAUUUAAGUGUGAGAAAGCACUUAUGAAGCUAAGGGACGAGAAGACCCUGUAGAGUUUUAUAUAUGGUGGGGUGUGUAAAGUUAAAUGGGUUGAUUUGGCAUUUGAAAUUGUAUAUUUUACUGGGGCGGUAAAGAAAGAGAAAAUCUUUAUUUGAAAUUUUGGGUGUAAGACGUUGGAAAUAGAAAUAUGAUCCAGUUAAGAAGACUGAUAGUAGGAUUAAAUUACCUCAGGGAUAACAGCGUAAAGCUAUUGGAGAGUUCAUAUUGAUAAUAGUCUUUGCGACCUCGAUGUUGAAUUAGGAUAACUGCUUGGUGAAGGAGCUAAGUAAGCGAGUCUGUUCGACUAGUAAUAUCCUACA